GACAGAGGAUGCAAGCGUUAUCCGGAAUGAUUGGGCGUAAAGCGUCUGUAGGUGGCUUUUCAAGUCCGCCGUCAAAUCCCAGGGCUCAACCCUGGACAGGCGGUGGAAACUACCAAGCUGGAGUACGGUAGGGGCAGAGGGAAUUCCAGGUGUAGCGGUGAAAUGCGUAGAUAUCUGGAGGAACACCGGUGGCGAAGGCGGCAUCCUGGACCGGCAUUGACGCUGAGGCGCGAAAGCUAGGGGAGCAAACGGG
rnacentral:rRNA from 1 species